CUCGUAGGCGGUUCAGUAAGUCGGGUGUGAAAACUUUGGGCUUAACCCAAAGCGUGCAUCCGAUACUGCUGUGACUUGAGUUCGGUAGGGGAGCAGGGAAUUCCUAGUGUAGCGGUGAAAUGCGCAGAUAUUAGGAGGAACACCGGUGGCGAAGGCGCUGCUCUGGGCCGAAACUGACGCUGAGGAGCGAAAGCGUGGGUAGCAAACA
rnacentral:rRNA from 1 species